GGGAGGUCAACAGGCUGCUGAGAUGUGUCUUAGAAAGCUGCAGAGCUGGCAGAGCAGAAAUCUUCCAUGGAAUCUGGAGAGUCACACAUAUAAGGCAGACAGAGGCAAAAUCCAGGCUGUCUGAGGUACCCAAUGUCACACCUCGAGCUGUGGAAUUUGCAGGUGCUCCUGGGUUCUCAUCAGCCCCUUUCAAGGCGUGAGGGAAACCAUCUCGGUCCUCUGUGAUCUGCUCCCUGGGAUACAGAUAGCAGGACAAAGCAGUCAUUCUCUUUUUCUCCCAUGGUUGUGAUGGAUCCAAAGAGCCCUGGAUGCACUGGAAUUGUCCUGGCCCACCUCUGAAGUGCUCCCACCUGAAGGGCAGGGUGCCCCAGUUUCUUAAAAGUGCGCUCUGGACUCGACACAAGGAAUGUGAGAUCUGAGCAAGAUCUGUGUGUUGUCCCUAAGGCGCUGGGCUGAGCUGGGAUUACUUUCUCA
rnacentral:lncRNA from 1 species